rnacentral:rRNA from 1 species
GAUGAACGCUGGCGGCGUGCCUAACACAUGCAAGUCGAGCGAAGCACCUUACUUGAUUUCUUCGGGAUGAAAGUAUUGUGACUGAGCGGCGACGGGUGAGUACGCGUGGAUAACCUGCCUCAUACAGGGGGAUAACAGUUAGAAAUGACUGCUAAUACCGCAUAUGCCUAAGUACCACAUGGUACAAUAGGGAAAGGAGCAAUCCGCUGAUAGAUGGGCUUGCGUCUGAUUAGUUAGUUGGUGGGGUAACGGCCUACCAAGACGACGAUCAGUAGCCGGACUGAGAGGUUGAACGGCCACAUUGGGACUGAGAUACGGCCCAG